GACGAACGCUGGCGGCGUGCUUAACACAUGCAAGUCGAACGAAGAGCGAUGGAAGCUUGCUUCUAUCAAUCUUAGUGGCGAACGGGUGAGUAACGCGUAAUCAACCUGCCCUUCAGAGGGGGACAACAGUUGGAAACGACUGCUAAUACCGCAUACGAUCUAAUCUCGGCAUCGAGGAUAGAUGAAAGGUGGCCUCUACAUGUAAGCUAUCACUGAAGGAGGGGAUUGCGUCUGAUUAGCUAGUUGGAGGGGUAACGGCCCACCAAGGCGAUGAUCAGUAGCCGGUCUGAUAGGAUGAACGGCCACAUUGGGACUGAGACACGGCCCAGACUCCUACGGGAGGCAGCAGUGGGGAAUCUUCCGCAAUAGACGAAAGUCUGACGGAGCAACGCCGCGUGAGUGAUGACGGCCGUCGGGUUGUAAAGCUCGGUUAAUCGGGACGAAAGGCCUUCUUGCGAAUAGUGAGAAGGAUUGACGGUACCGGAAUAGAAAGCCACGGCUAACUACGUG
rnacentral:rRNA from 1 species